rnacentral:rRNA from 1 species
CCUACGGGAGGCUGCAGUGGGGAAUAUUGCACAAUGGGCGCAAGCCUGAUGCAGCCAUGCCGCGUGUGUGAAGAAGGCCUUCGGGUUGUAAAGCACUUUCAGCGGGGAGGAAGGCGGUGAGGUUAAUAACCUCAUCGAUUGACGUUACCCGCAGAAGAAGCACCGGCUAACUCCGUGCCAGCAGCCGCGGUAAUACGGAGGGUGCAAGCGUUAAUCGGAAUUACUGGGCGUAAAGCGCACGCAGGCGGUCUGUCAAGUCGGAUGUGAAAUCCCCGGGCUCAACCUGGGAACUGCAUUCGAAACUGGCAGGCUAGAGUCUUGUAGAGGGGGGUAGAAUUCCAGGUGUAGCGGUGAAAUGCGUAGAGAUCUGGAGGAAUACCGGUGGCGAAGGCGGCCCCCUGGACAAAGACUGACGCUCAGGUGCGAAAGCGUGGGCAGCAAACAGGAUUAGAUACCCCAGUAGUC